rnacentral:rRNA from 1 species
AGUGAACGCUGGCGGUAGGCCUAACACAUGCCAGUCGAACGGCAGCACAGUAAGAGCUUGCUCUUACGGGUGGCGAGUGGCGGACGGGUGAGGAAUACAUCGGAAUCUACUUUUUCGUGGGGGAUAACGUAGGGAAACUUACGCUAAUACCGCAUACGACCUACGGGUGAAAGCAGGGGAUCUUCGGACCUUGCGCGAUUGAAUGAGCCGAUGUCGGAUUAGCUAGUUGGCGGGGUAAAGGCCCACCAAGGCGACGAUCCGUAGCUGGUCUGAGAGGAUGAUCAGCCACACUGGAACUGAGACACGGUCCAGACUCCUACGGGAGGGAGCAGUGGGGAAUAUUGGACAAUGGGCGCAAGCAUGAUCCAGCCAUACCGCGUGGGUGAAGAAGGCCUUCGGGUUGUAAAGGCCUUUUGUUGGGAAAGAAAAGCAGCAGGUUAAUACCCCGCUGUUCUGACGGUACCCAAAGAAUAAGCACCGGCUAACUUCGUGC